rnacentral:rRNA from 1 species
UACGUAGGGGGCAAGCGUUGUCCGGAUUUAUUGGGCGUAAAGAGCGUGUAGGCGGCCUGACAGGUCUGCUGUGAAAACUCGAGGCUCAACCUCGAGAUGUCGGCGGAAACCGUCUGGCUAGAGUCCGGAAGAGGAGAGUGGAAUUCCUGGUGUAGCGGUGAAAUGCGCAGAUAUCAGGAAGAACACCUAUGGCGAAGGCAGCUCUCUGGGACGGUACUGACGCUGAGACGCGAAAAGCGUGGGGGAGCGAACAGGG